CUAUCUAUCUAUUUUCUUCUCUCUUUUUUUCCUUAUAAAUCAGGGAUUCACACACAGCCUUUCACAUUUUCUUUUCUCCUUAUAAAUCAGGGAUUCACUCUUGUGGGGAGAGAAAAGAAGAGUUAAGAGCCAUUUUUACACACAUGCCCCCCUUUCUUCCUCCUCCUCCUUGGUAGGUUUUAAUUACAGGGAGAGUGAGAAGAAGAAGAAGUCUUUCAGAAGGACAAAAAAAAAAUGCAUCCCACGACUGCCACUGCAAAACAUGGCUGCCUGUUUUAUCUCCCCGGUUUGUACCCAGAAGUCGAGGGAUAAAGGAGUUAUAGCCAAAGAAGGCUUAGAGGAAAUAGGUGAAAAUCAAUUUCUUAAGUGUUGAGAGAAGAGAAGCGACACAAGGGGGCAGAAGUGAGAGAAAUCUGGGAUAUUUCAAGAAAGCGUUUGAAUG